CAUCUUCGGGGCAGGGUGAAAUUCCCGAUCGGCGGUAUUAGAGACUAACAAUGACUCUUGAGCCCGCGAGCCGUAAAGGCAGGACAUGGUGAGAAUCCAAGGCCGACAGUAUAGUCUGGAUGGGAGAAGGUG
rnacentral:ncRNA from 1 species